CGCACAUUGCGCCCACUAGUAUUCUGGUGGGCAUGCCUGUUCGAGCGUCAUUAAGUCCACUCAAGCCCUUUUGCUUGGUAUUGGGAGACUGCUUCAGUGCAGCUCCUCAAAGACAGCGGCGGAGUCGUGUUUUCCUCUGAGCUUAGUAAUUACUUUCUAGCUUGUGAGCGAGGCGCGUCCCCUGCCGUAAAACCCCCAUCUUUUUAAUGGUUGACCUCGGAUCAGGUAGGAAUACCCGCUGAACUUAA
rnacentral:misc_RNA from 1 species